rfam:Camelus ferus unplaced genomic scaffold scaffold757, whole genome shotgun sequence.
GAGGGUAUAGCUCAUUGGGAGAGUGCAUGCUUAGCAUGCAUGAGGUCCUGGGUUCAAUCCCCAGUACCUCCA